rnacentral:tRNA from 2 species
UAGCGCAGCCUGGUAGCGCACUUCCUUCGGGAGGAAGGGGUCGGAGGUUCAAAUCCUC